UUUACAGUACGUGUUAAAGAGAUGCAAACGCAAAAAAAGAGAGACGGCAGUGCGGGGAAACGGAGGAGAAAAUCGAACCAUCAGAAAAAGCUUCAGAGUGAAAAGACAGAGUUUUACACAAGUAGCAGCAAAAAAGAGGAACUCGUGUAAAGUAGAAAUGAGAAACAGGUGACCGGUGAACAAGGACACAGAGCAGGCGAUGAAGGACAUGAAGAAACCUGAAGUUGCGUGACUGAGUGCUGGCG